GACGAACGCUGGCGGCGUGCCUAAUACAUGCAAGUUGAGCGAUGAAGAUUGGUGCUUGCACCAAUUUGAAGAGCAGCGAACGGGUGAGUAACGCGUGGGGAAUCUGCCUUUGAGCGGGGGACAACAUUUGGAAACGAAUGCUAAUACCGCAUAACAACUUUAAACAUAAGUUUUAAGUUUGAAAGAUGCAAUUGCAUCACUCAAAGAUGAUCCCGCGUUGUAUUAGCUAGUUGGUGAGGUAAAGGCUCACCAAGGCGAUGAUACAUAGCCGACCUGAGAGGGUGAUCAGCCAGAUUGGGACUGAGACACGGCACAAACUCCUACGGGAGGCAGCAGUAGGGAAUCGUCGGCAAUGGACGAAAGUCUGACCGAGCAACGCCGCGGGAGUGAAGAAGGUUUUCGGAUCGUAAAACUCUGUUGGUAGGGAAGAACGUUGGUGAGAGUGGAAAGCUCAUCAAGUGACGGUAACUACCCAGAAAGGGACGGCUAACUACGUG
rnacentral:rRNA from 1 species